rnacentral:lncRNA from 1 species
GACAAUUAAAAACAAUUCAUUUCAAUAAAUUUUUCACAACACGAAUAUUCAUUUCAACCAAAUAAUCAAUAUGGCUCGUGGAUUUCUCAAAACUUGGCUCAUGCCAAACCUUGUACUCGGGGACACCUGGACCAGGGGUAUCCAAUCGAGUCCGCCAAAGCUGUUAAAAAUUCAUAUUUCGCAUAAAACACAUUUUUCGUUGAACAUCACAGCCGUUCCUUGGCAUUGGCUGAGUCUCACUCUCACGAGGUGGUCCAAGUGAAGUGCACUCAAAAAGCCCACCUUAGGAGAUACCCUACGCGCCUCUACGACCAAGGUGAGAAUAUAAAGGAGUUUACCGUACCCCUCUAAUAGGCUGGUACACGAAACCCCGCCACUGCAGUAGCUAAUCUUUUAUCUACCACCUGAUUUAUAAAAUCUUUUUCUGCAUGAUAUGGUAAUUUAUCGCAACCUAGCCUCUCAAGGCUGAAUACAUAAUACAAAUAAUUCUAACACCAAAAAUCAGUUUAGCCAUUCAUGCUCAUAUAUUGUCAUAAGCCAUUCAAUUUAAAACCAUAAAUUUACAACACAAGCAGGCAGUCUCCAAUUACUCUAUUUUCAAAACCAGUAUUCGAUUUUCUAAAAAAUUUAUAAAAUUAUUUUAUAAAAUCGUAAUUUCUCCUAAAACAUAGCAAUUUACUAUUUAAACUCAUUUUUUUUAUAAAAUCACACAAUUGUAUAAAACUACUAUAGAUAAUUAAGACGAUAAUAAGUUUACUCACAGUUCUAAGAGUCGAUGUACUCUUAAUCUCAAUCUUCAAGCACAAUCUCUGUACUUUUAUCAGUGUAAUUUGCUCACCACUUAUCCACAAUGUACAAUACAUAAUUCACCACAUUAAUGCUUGACCAUUAUAAAAUCAAUUCAAGCUCGGUGUAUAUGCAUGAUUUGAAGUGCAAAAUGUCUAAAUUUUGCCUAAACGCGAUGUUAGCCUAUUUCGGUCUUUUACCCGAUAAAUCGAUAUACGCGUUCGUUUAAACUCCAAAUUAAUUUUUUUCAGUUUCUAUACCUCAAUUGCACCCAAAUUGACUUAAUGUCCCUCAAUGUGGUGCAAAUUAUCAGUCCCGACAGCAAAUUACGAAAAUACCCCCAGUGGGUAAAAAUUCAUAUUUUUACUUCAAAAAUUCUCAUUAUUUUUCUAGGCUCAUAAUUCAUCAUUAUUCAUCAUAAUUCCUCAAUUAAACAUCAGGAUCAACAGCCAAUAUUUUCCUAAAAAAUUCGGCCAAUAAUGGUAAUGGAGGAAAAUGAAUUCUUUUCUUGUUGUUUUGUUCCUAAAUAUGUCAAACUAACUAAAAACACUAACAUAACUUUAAAUCAAAUUAAUCUAACUUCAUUCUCUCUCCAUACCCAUUUGGGCAGCCAUGAAUUCACCAUGAAAACAUGAAAUCUAACCAUGGAAAAUAAGGAGAAAAGCAUGGGAAAAGUAGGUCACAAGUCAAAAUCAAAAAAUUUUACCUUUGAUUUCUUGAUUCCUUGAAAUCCACCAAUUUUCCUUUAAUUUUCCCACCUAGGUUUCUUGUUUUUUUUCCUUUCCUCCUUUUGUUCUUCCUUUUUCUUUGUUUGGCCGGCCAUAUGAA